AUGGCCACGUCAUCACUCCCUGUGGUUGGCGUAUUGCUGAGGUGCUUGGGCCAUCGGGGAGGUGAUUUCCAGAUUGAGAGGGUGUGUCUCCCCUGCUCCGAGUCCUAUCACGGGAGCUCGCUGACAGCUGGGAGUCGGGCCUUCCUCAUGCAGAAGCCUUACAGCUCAACGCGGAAGCACGCCCAGCUCGGCAGGGAUGGGAUCCCCCUGCACCCCUGCCUUAGAGGACGGGCUUCCUACAUCCCUUCCUGUCUCCCACACCCCCAUGACCACCCUGCAUGUGCUCAUGACCUCCAAAGGCCCACACUCACGAAGCGGCAAACCCAGCAGCUCCCCGGGCCCCCUGCCUCAGGACCUCUGCUGAAGAGAGGGAUCAAGGGGGUCUCCAGAGAGGCAUCAGGGGAUUUGUGGGCGGCUGGCUCGGGAGCCAGCUUACAGGAGGGUAGCUCUGUGGUGGGGAGGGACGCCCUCCGGAGACCAGGCCUCUGCGCGUCCCUACCCUCCUUAACCUGCUCACACCCUCUUGGCCAAGGCUUUGUGUACCAGGUGGUUUUUUUUUUUUUCCCCCAAAUCUAGAGGUUAUCAGAUCUCACCCCACUGUUGGUUUUGUUUUUGCAGCAGCAAAAACUCUCUCUCCACUUCGGCUUUCAUCUCUAUCAGGCAACCAGCCACCUGGUCCCGUGUGCUGACUCUAGCACAGUGGCCAGGAUCCGAUGUAAGUCCAGGGGUGACCGCAGGACGGUGGAGGCGGCGGGCUUCUCCACCCAUCCCAGCUGCCAGGGCCCUGAUUGAUGCACUCCCUCCUGCCCCUUCAGCACAUCCGUGUGCACAGCUGGAGGGGCACCUGGCCUGCCCACCUUGGUCCAGACCCGUGGAAAUGCUGGGGAUGCCAGCUCUCCCCCGCCUUGCCCCUGCCACUGAGCAGGCAUUAACCGACUGGUGUUUGCAGUCCCACAUGGUGUAACCUCCAGAGCAGUGAGUUCCAGAGGAGGGGCGUGUGGACCUGCCCCAUAGAGGCCCCACCCAGGCUUACAGGGCCAGGUCUUGGGCACUGUGUGACACAGGACUCGCCACUAGCGCAAGCCUGCCUGGCUCUGCCAGGGCCCCUCUCCUGAUUCACACAUCCCAUUUUUGCACAAACCCUUCCUUCUUAAGAGCUGACAGCUCUGUUGGCACCCAAGAACCCACACCAUGAACAGGGAGGGGCCUUUGUGCCCAGGCCCAGCACAGAUGCGUUCUGGAGUGAAGGCGACGUGAGGCUUGUGUGUGGAAUGGUUGUGGAGUUCGCCUGCAGACCGAUCUGAAUAUAUGUCAUGUAUAAUUGUUAUGUGUAAUUUAAGAUAUGUUUGCCAUCGUCAUGGGAAGAUAUGUAAGGCUCUUGAGGGAGAGGGAGGUGUGCAUGCUGUCAGGCUCCUGUGGACUUUGUCCUAGUAAUGAAAUGCUCUAUCGAUCUAGUGGUGCAAGAAGCUACACUCCAUGUGUCGUCACACUUAGGAAUGACGCCUAAUGGAUUUUUAAGGCAAAAGCUGUCAGCCGACAUCCAUCAUCGUCCCUCGCAUCCAGUCUUUCCGUGCCAGUGCUUCAGAGCCACAGCACUCUCUUGCCAUGGAGACUGGCUGGGCCUGGCGUCUUGGGGCUCACUUUCCAUGGAGCCCUCCUGGAUCACUCUACAAAUGUGCUGAGUGCCAGCUGAAAACCCCACAGGAGAUGGAGUUACCUUGGUCAAACUUAAAAGAUUUUCUCAGGGUAUUUACCAGUGUGUCCAGCAGGUCAGGAAGCAGGGAUGGAAAGACGCAUUCAGACUGCUAAUUUAUUAACAAGGCAAAUGAGUUCAUGUUUCUUGAUGACAAACUAUUAAGUUUGGGACUUAUUUUCCCAUUCGAGAAGUUAUAAUAUAUAUUUAAGAUAAGUUUCCUGCUUAAGUUGUGCCUUUCAGCUUCAACGAGUUUAAGGAGCACUAAGGGUAAUGAUACCAAUGAGGGUUGGUUUAUUAUCAAACCUGAAUAGCUGUGGUUUCUCCAGCAAAUGUUUUCUUCUACUGAACAUGGAGCCAUUAUUAAGAGUUGUGUGUUUUUUUAAUUAUGUACAUUUGUAUAUUUUUUUGCUUGUUUGAUGUUCUAUUUUUCUAAUAGUUUUCUUAUAGUUUCCUAAAGUUGCGACACUAGAUGUAGAUUCCGAUGCUAACCGCAAAUUAGGCUGGCCUCUGCUGGGUCUCUCCUGCUUUUAUUUCACUGUAAGGACAGUGUAGUUGUCGUCCACCACCUUUCAAAAAAUGUGAAACUGCCUUGCCCACGCCCCGCCCCCCCCCGCCUUUUUGCUGACAUCACUAUGUACAUUGACAACUUCCUACCAUACUUUAUGUUAUAAAAUCAAACUAUUUUGUGGUACAUUAUCUCAUGCUUCCGCAAAUUCUAAUAAAUUCUGUCUAUGGCUUCCA